CUUUCUUAAAAAGAUGUAGUAAAUAUGGCACAGGGAGUUUUAACUAUAACUGCAGGCCUGAAUCUGGAAUCAGGUGGGCUCCUGGACUCAGGAACCAAGGAGUGGAAAGGAGCUGGGUUCCCACCAGCUUCUGACUCAAGCUGCUCCCCUAGAAGGAGGAAAUGCUGCUGCUGCCUCCUGUUCACAUCGUAUUAUUGCUGGAGAUCUGCCAUACUCCACCAUCGCCCCAUCUCCCUGCGCAAUCUCCUUACAAUCCCCUUAAUUCCUUAGAGGAAUGCCCUGGCUUGUCACUUGCCUCUGGCAAUUCUCUGUCUUGGGGCAAAGCCCCGGUCUCUUCUAAGCACAGCUCCUACAGAGCCUAGAACUCUUUAUUUUAUGAAUUUUAAAUCCUAUAAGACUCCAAGCCUAAGGCAAAACACCAAGAGGAGACAGGAUAAAGAUGAAACAGGAUACAUGGUGAUAUCAUCUUACAAGACUCAAGAUAAGCAUAUAAAAGGAAGAAUUUUAAAGUAAUUUCUGC